AAGAACCCCAACAGACUAAAAUCACAAUUGCAAAAACACAAACACAGUUAAUCUUUUCUUCUUGCGCAGUAGAUUUAUUUCUCCGAGGCUCGAUUCCAUUUUGACAAGAAACAGAAUCACAUUUUAUAUCCUUUGAUGAGAAAAACCAAUAAACAAACAAAAAAAAAGAACGCGGUAAGUCACAGUGGUCAGUUGUUAUUUCCCCCCCCCCCCUCAUAUUCCAGCGUCUUAGUGACAAAGUUACAUUUUAUGAAGAAACGACCUAAGCAAUAAAAGGAAGGCUGUGCAGGUCUUGAACAAUCGGGGGAAAAUGUGUGCAAAGUCACAACAGAGAGAAAUGGAAGCUUUUAAGAAAAAACUAGAUCAAAGAAACGCGAGACAAUUAUAGAGUUUUGGAUUAAAUAUAGCAGGAUAUCAGUAGCUUUACUGGUACAAGAGACUAAGCCCCGCCCCCUCCGUCUGCUCUGCUCUGAGAGAGAGCAGUACAUAAAGUGCAAUAAAAAAAAGAAAAAAGACAAAAGGAAGAGGCACUGGCCAGUAAUCUUAGCAUACAUUCACUGAGUGCUGAUUUAUACAUAUAUGAGUGAUUCAUGUCACACUGAAACUGUGAAAAAGAAACAUCUUAUUAACUUAGAGUUGUAAUUUUAUGGGCUGUAUAUUGAACAGAAAACGUUUUCUUCAUUUUACUUCCACAAAGAGGCUUCGUUCAAAGCAGAAUAUUCCUACCAGGUUAUGUUCAAUACACACGACAAUAAAAACAAAGCUGGGUAAUAAAAAAAACAGAAUUCCGUAUGAUUUAGCUCGCUAGUCUGAUUUAGCAAGCUAGAAGACUUUGCUAGUAAAAAAACCAAAUCGUUUUACCAGCUAAAAAGAUUUAGUUAGUAAAAUCUAGCUAACUGUUUUUACUAGCUAGAAAGUAAAAGCUAUCUAAAUCUUUUUACUAGCUAGAAAGAUUUAGUCAGUAAAAUCUAGCUAAAUCUAGUUAGCUAGCGAGCAAGCUUUGCAUCUAGCUAGCUGGUUAUCUAGCUUGAUGCACAGCUACAGGCACACAGCUGAGUUGGACUCCAACUGGAUUAAAAACAAGUUAAUAAUUUUUGUCCUUUUUAAGGAAAAUAACUCUGAUUGGAUGUAUUUUGUGAUGUCACCAGAGACAUGUGCCUCUACAAGGGCAGGCAUUUUCUUCUUCACAAAGAAACAGUUUGCAGUAAAAAGGCAUAACAAGGAGAACAACUGACCUCGACAGGUUUUGUAUGAGUGACCUACUACAAUUAAAAUGUGAAAGGUCAUCGAAUGAAAGUCGUUGAAAAGUCUUUAAAAGAAAUCUGGGGCACAUACAAGGUCGUAAACAGGCGUCAUGGCUGCCUCCAGAAUCUUAUUCAAAAUUCAUGAGUUAUUUUACUGAAGAUACAUGAGUUCAGAUAAGAGCCCUCUGUGAUCUUAGGUCUACAACAGUAAAAAAUAAAAUAACAGUUUUUUUUUUAAAAAAGAUGCUGCAUUUACCAAAGGCAUAAAUUGCCUUUUCCGGAAGGUUCAGAAAGAUUCCAUCUUACCCAAGUAACAGAGUCAGUAAAUGUGAUUUCUUCGUACAUUGUCUUCAUCGUUUUCCUCAUCCAGGUUGUUCUGAUCUGCAGCCAUGAGACUGAGAUGUGAUUGUCAGAAUUCUGACACUGUGUGAAGACAAUAAGUGAUUGUGAUGAGCAGCAGUAGUUUCCUGCCGUUAGGUGGAUUUGUGAGGUGUAAUCAGAUACGCCAUUUUUCAAGGAAUGCGAUAGAAUACAGUACAAAUUCGGUAGUAUUAUAGUACCUGCCUGGCAGUAAAUAAUUGUUCAAAUUUCAUCUGGGGUUUUAAACUCUUCCAAUUGAACCCAGACCUAUAGGGGGAAAACAAAAACACAUCAUUCAUAAAUACAACAUCUUUGUGGAGAUUUAAGAUUAAGAUUAAGCAAUAUCACUUAUAAAUAUUUUAGACAAGCAUGUCUAACAAAUUGCAUAAAUACAAAAAACCCCAAUAAUCUCUACAAACAGAGAUGCACCAGAUGAUUUUUAGUUCGAUUGGUCCUGUUGGGUUACUUGCUGAGCCUUAAAUUAGUAAUUCCAAUCAGUGACUGCACUAAGACUAAACUACCAGUAUUCCUAUUAGUAAGCUGUUUAAAAUUAACAGGAGGCUGUACGAAUCUUAAAAAGGAAAUUGCUUUCUACGAGUUGAGACAUGUCUGCGGUUUGUUCAGAGAGAAAGAGAGAGAGAGAGCAAGACUUUAAACAGACAAUAUGAAUGAUGAAUGGAAUACAGUCCAGGGCGACUGUGGCUGUAUGGUAGAGUAGUCGUCUUGCGAUCGGAAGGUUGUAGGUUCGAUUCCAGCUUCCUCCUGCCACAUGUUGAUGUGUCUCUGGGCAAGGCAUUUAACCCCAAAUUGCCCAAUGGGUGAAUUGGGCAAUUUGGGUGAAUAAGUUCAGUCCAUUUACAGCAUUAACCUUUUCAACAUGCUGAAUUUGGAAACGUUAGCCUUUUGGAAACUGAAGCUGACUGCUUCAAGUUAAAAAUGCUCAAUUUUGAAUAAUUGAGGGUGCUUUUUUCCACUUUUUAGUAAAUCAAGGAAAGUAUUUUGAAUAUUGUUCCUAAAUCGUCAUUUUUAAAAUUGGAACCAGUAUGUCAAAUUUUUCUAUUAAACUAACCAAAUACAUGUGACUGGUGCUGCUAAAAAAAGUUAAAUUCUUUGUGGUAACUAGCUUGAUGGGAGCUAAAGAAAACAUAAAUCAGUCUUUCUAGCUAGCUAUAGCUAGACUAUGACUGUUUCUAGCUAGCUAGACUGCUUAUAGCUAGCUAUAGCCAGACUGACUGUUUCUAGCCAGCUUUAGCUAGACUGUUUGUUUGUAGCUAGUUGGGCUGUUUUUGGUAGCUAGAAACAGUCUGAUUUAGCUAGCUUGUCUGAUUUGGAUUACCUGUGGGUGGCCAGAAGAUUUAACUAGUAAAAAGCAUCUAGCUGGCUGCCUAGCAAGAUGCUUUUGAUUGGUAUUUUGAUCAGAAACUCUCUACAUAAAACUUGUCUGAUGCUAGUUACAGCUCAUCUAAUGUUACUAUGGUGACCAGCUAAUAUCCACCUCUUCAAAUGUGAAACUCUUAUUACAAAUUAAACAACCCCGUUUAGGCAUUAAUCCUGCUUUAUAGCUCACAGCUGUAUUGGUCUGCUACCUCAGGGUACCGGCGGUCACAUCUAAGAAGAAACAAGGAACAUACAGUAAAGACACAGAGACGUCGGAUGUUUUAAAUAAGCUGCUGGCUGAAAUUGAAUCAUUUCCUUUUAGUUCAGCUCUGACCAACGAUAGGCAAUACACAGGCAGAAAAUAAAAAAGAUUUUUUUUUUUUUUUUUUGCCAGUGAAUACACCUAAAUGCUAACAGGUUGUGCUGAAUCAGCACUUUUUUUUUAGUGAGACGUUGUUACUGAAGGGAGAUGAGUCAAAGUUUGCCAUUGAAUGACGAAUCAGUACGGAAGCACAAAAAGGCCCAAGCAGCCAUUUAGAAAUAAAACCGAGGCACGCAGACUGUUAAUUCAGCCUGUCAUAACAGAGAGCUAUUUAUUUACUGCAGGGUUUACCCCAGCGUAUUGUAAGCCUGGCAGGCCACCAGGCUAAGCAUUGCUUAUUUUUUUUGAAGUCUUUUUAAAAUGUUUGCAUUUUUUAAGACUCUAUAGUUUGUGUUCAGGUAUUAAUCUCCCAAUCUUUCAAUAACACAUAGUUAUCAAGUGACAUUUAAAAAUGUCCUGUUAACUUUAAACACUUUUGAAAUCAAAAACAUAAUGGGCCGCUGGAUGAAUGACUGCCUUAGCGCCCAACCACUGGGCUCAGCAAGUUUUCUGGGGGAAACGUUGUAGUGGUUUGUUAGUCGAACAUACAACUGAUACGCUGCAGACAUGAUUUCUAUCCAGUGGCCCGUUACGGCCAGCGGGUGCUGAUCAUUUAACUUAUUUGUAUUUUUGUACGUUUUGUAACCCGACUUUAUCAAAAAAAGAAAAGCAGCGGUCUCUUACAGAAUGUCAAUUCACGACCAUGUAUAUAUAUAUAUUUUUUUUUUAAAGAAUUAUCAAGGCACGCUCUGCCGUGUUUGAACAAAUUGGAGUUGAAAAUAUUGGCAGCGUUUUGGAAAUCUUUGGGUUUGGUUAAUGGUCUGCAUUCUCUACAAAAUGCACCCAGAGGCGGUUUACAGUUACUAAAUCUGGCCAGACUGACUGUGCUUGUGGAAGCUAUUAAAUAUAGUUUAAAAUGUCAACUCAAAUCAUUUUGUCUUUGAUCUUAACUAAUAAUAAACCCCCGUUUUAUAUCGACUCCUUUAUUACACACACACACACACACAGUGUGUUGUUUCCUCUGCUCCCUAUAUAAACUUGAUACCGCCUACGGGUGGAAAGCUGUAAAAAAAA